rnacentral:rRNA from 1 species
UGGGGAAUAUUGGACAAUGGGGGGAACCCUGAUCCAGCCAUGCCGCGUGUGUGAAGAAGGCCUUAUGGUUGUAAAGCACUCUAAGCGAGGAGGAGGGUACUGGUAUUAAUACUACCAGGUACUGGACGUUACUCGCAGAAUAAGCACCGGCUAACUCUGUGCCAGCAGCCGCGGUAAUACAGAGGGUGCGAGCGUUAAUCGGAUUUACUGGGCGUAAAGCGUGCGUAGGCGGCUAAUUGAGUCGGAUGUGAAAUCCCCGAGCUUAACUUGGGAAUUGCAAUCGAUACUGGUAAGCGAGAGUGUGGGAGAGGAUGGGAGAAGUCCAGGUGUAGGUGUGAAGUGCGUAGACAUCUGGAGGAAUACCGAUGGCGGAGGCAGCCAUCUGGCCUAACACUGACGCUGAGGUACGAAAGCAUGGGGAGCAAACAGGA